GACGUAGGGUGCAAGCGUUGUCCGGAUUUACUGGGCGUAAAGAGCGCGUAGGCGGCUCGUUAAGUGUGAAGUGAAAUCUCCAGGGCUCAACCCGGAAACUGCUUUACAUACUGGCGAGCUGGAGUGAUGAAGAGGUUUGUGGAAUUCCUGGUGUAACGGUGAAAUGUGUUGAUAUCAGGAGGAACACCCAUGGCGAAGGCAGCAAACUGGUCAUCAACUGACGCUGAGGCGCGAAAGCGUGGGUAGCAAACAGG
rnacentral:rRNA from 1 species